CUGUGAAAAUUUUAAAAUUGCAUGCAUAGAACUGCCUGUCUUUCCUUCAGUCCUAUCAAAGGGAAUCAAUGCAAAAUAUUCUGAAGAUAAAGUGGAUCACUAUGAUAAUGUUGAUCCUGACUUGAUGAGUUACUUUGAACUCCAAAGCAUGUGUGUUGAUUCGGGGUGCCCAUCUACCAAUAACAUAUAUUUCUUAGUAUCCAAUGAUAAUGUUGAACAUAAAUUAAGAUUGUUAGAGAGUGAUGAUGACAUAAUGUACAUGUUGGAGUUACAUUCAUAGUGGAGAGUCUUUUGUAUU
rnacentral:lncRNA from 1 species